AAGAUAGAUUAGUUAGAAAGAAAGAUAGAUAGAUUUGUUAGAAUGAAAGAAAGAUAGAUUAGUGAGAAAGAAAGAUAGAUUAGUUAGAAAGAAAGAUAGAUUAGUUAGAAAGAAAGAAAGAUUAGUUAGAAAAAAGAAAGAUAGAUUAGUUAGAAAGAAAGAUAGAUAGAUUUGUUAGAAUGAAAGAAAGAUAGAUUAGUGAGAAAGAAAGAUAGAUUAGUUAGAAAGAAAGAUAGAUUAGUUAGAAAGAAAGAAAGAUUAGUUAGAAAGAAAGAUAGAUAGAUUAGAUAGAAAGAAAGAACAAUAGAUUAGUUAGAAAGAAAGAUGGAUAGAUUAGUUAGAAAGAAAGAUAGAUUAAAAGAUUAGUUAGAAAGAAAGAUAGAUAGAUUAGAUAGAAAGAAAGAACGAUAGAUUAGUUAGAAAGAAAGAUGGAUAGAUUAGUUAGAAAGAAAGAUAGA